UCCGGGUUUCGCCCGGCAUUAUCCGGUAGCAACUAAAGACAAGGGUUGCGCUCGUUGCGGGACUUAACCCAACACCUCACGGCACGAGCUGACGACAGCCAUGCAGCACCUGUACAGAUUCGCCUUGCGGCACGGGAACUUUCAUCCCCCUUAAUCUGCGUUUCAAGCCCAGGUAAGGUUCUUCGCGUUGCAUCGAAUUGAACCACAUGCUCCGCUGCUUGUGCGGGUCCCCGUCAAUUCCUUUGAGUUUUAGCCUUGCGGCCGUACUCCCCAGGCGGGGCACUUAAUGCGUUAGCUGCGGCACGGAAGGAGUCGACACCUCCCACACCUAGUGCCCAUCGUUUACGGCGUGGACUAC
rnacentral:misc_RNA from 1 species